GACGAACGCUGGCGGCGUGCUUAACACAUGCAAGUCGAACGGAAAGGCCCUGCUUUUGUGCGGUGCUCGAGUGGCGAACGGGUGAGUAACACGCGAGUAACCUGCCCUUGACUUUGGGAUAACUCCUGGAAAAUCGGGCUAAUACCGGAUAGGAGCUCCUGCUGCACGGUGGGGGUUGGAAAGUUUCGGCGGUGGGGGAUGGACUGGAGGCUUAUCCGCUUGAUGGUGGGGUAGUGGCUUACGAAGGCUUUGACGGGUAGCCGGCCUGAGAGGGUGACCGGCCACAAUGGGACUGAGAGACGGACCAGACUCCUACGGGAGGCAGCAGGCGGGAAUAUUGCACAAUGGGCGGAAGCCUGAUGCAGCGACGCCGCGUGCGGGAUGCCGGCCUUCGGGGGGUGAACCGCUUUCGACUGUGACGAAGCGUGAGUGACGGUAAUGGGUAAAAAAGCAACGGCUAACUACGUG
rnacentral:rRNA from 1 species